rnacentral:rRNA from 1 species
GAUGAACGCUGGCGGCAUGCCUAAUACAUGCAAGUCGAGCGAACAGACGAGGAGCUUGCUCCUCUGACGUUAGCGGCGGACGGGUGAGUAACACGUGGAUAACCUACCUAUAAGACUGGGAUAACUUCGGGAAACCGGAGCUAAUACCGGAUAAUAUAUUGAACCGCAUGGUUCAAUAGUGAAAGACGGUUUUGCUGUCACUUAUAGAUGGAUCCGCGCCGCAUUAGCUAGUGGGUAAGGUAACGGCUUACCAAGGCAACGAUGCGUAGCCGACCUGAGAGGGUGAUCGGCCACACUGGAACUGAGACACGGUCCAGACUCCUACGGGAGGCAGCAGUAGGGAAUCUUCCGCAAUGGGCGAAAGCCUGACGGAGCAACGCCGCGUGAGUGAUGAAGGUCUUCGGAUCGUAAAACUCUGUUAUUAGGGAAGAACAAAUGUGUAAGUAACUAUGCACGUCUUGACGGUACCUAAUCAGAAAGCAACGGCUAACUACGUG